rnacentral:rRNA from 1 species
AUUGAACGCUGGCGACAGGCCUAACACAUGCAAGUCGAACGGUAACAGGAAGCAGCUUGCUGCUUUGCUGACGAGUGGCGGACGGGUGAGUAAUGUCUGGGAAACUGCCUGAUGGAGGGGGAUAACUACUGGAAACGGUAGCUAAUACCGCAUAACGUCGCAAGACCAAAGAGGGGGACCUUCGGGCCUCUUGCCAUCGGAUGUGCCCAGAUGGGAUUAGCUUGUUGGGGGGGUAACGGCUCACCAAGGCGACGAUCCCUAGCUGGUCUGAGAGGAUGACCAGCCACACUGGAACUGAGACACGGUCCAGACUCCUACGGGAGGCAGCAGUGGGGAAUAUUGCACAAUGGGCGCAAGCCUGAUGCAGCCAUGCCGCGUGUAUGAAGAAGGCCUUCGGGUUGUAAAGUACUUUCAGCGGGGAGGAAGGGAGUAAAGUUAAUACCUUUACUCAUUGACGUUACCCGCAGAAGAAGCACCGGCUAACUCCGUG